rnacentral:rRNA from 1 species
AUUGAACGCUAGCGGGAUGCCUUACACAUGCAAGUCGAACGGAGUGGCGAACGGGUGAGUAAUGUAUCGGAACGUGCCCAGUAGCGGGGGAUCACUACGCGAAAGCGUAGCUAAUACCGCAUACUAUUGGAGCGGCCGAUAUCGGAUUAGCCAGUGGGGGGGGUAACGGCUAACAAAGGAGACGAUCCGUAGCUGGUUUGAGAGGACGACCAGCCACACUGGGAGUGAGACACGGGCCAGACUCCUACGGGAGGCAGCAGUGGGGAAUAGUGGACAAUGGGGGAAACCCUGAUCCAGCCAUCCCGCGUGUGCGAUGAAGGCCUUCGGGUUGGAAAGCAAUUUUGGCAGGAAAGCGGUACCUGCAGAAGAAGAACCGGCUAACUACGUGCCAGCAGCCGCGGUAAUAC